UUUUGAGGUGUUAAAUAUGGUGGU
rnacentral:piRNA from 1 species